rnacentral:sRNA from 1 species
ACGAAGCUGGGGAUACCCGUUUCUCUAGCUUGGAGCCACCAAGAUAGAGGACGAACACUUCUGUGAUUCAGUCCCCAGACUGUCUCUGACUUAAUCCCUUGGGUUCAAGCCCUAUGUGGGAGAGCAAGGGCACACACUGCCUAAUCCGUGGUGUCCCCCCCAGGACAAUGGCGUCUCUUGGCCACAUCUUGGUUUUCUGUGUGGGUCUCCUCACCAUGGCCAAGGCAGAAAGUCCAAAGGAACACGACCCGUUCACUUACGACUACCAGUCCCUGCAGAUCGGAGGCCUCGUCAUCGCCGGGAUCCUCUUCAUCCUGGGCAUCCUCAUCGUGCUGAGUGAGUGCCCCUAGCCCCCGCCCUCUACCCCGCCUCUCCCUGG